rnacentral:lncRNA from 1 species
UGGUUGCUCUGGCAAGGAGGGGUCGUCAUCGAUGUAGUCAAUCACAAGGGUACCAACAGCAGUCUCGGGGUCUACCGGAAAGAAGUUAUGGAGGGGAACACAAUAAAUAACAGAGCAAUCAAAGCAUCACAAAGCAUAACAUGGCAAUACUGGUGCUAGUGGUGACCUAACGCAGUACUAAGUGAUACCGGCAAACGGGGGAAACAUCCAGGAAAGGAUUCCCGGUGUUUCGCGUUUUCGGACAGAUGGACCGGAGGUGGAUUGUUGCAUGUUUGCUAUGCUAGGGACGUAUGGCGGACGAACGGAAUGCGUAUUCGGAUUCGUCUCGUCGUUCUGAGCAACUUUCAUAUAUAAAUUAUUUUCAUCCGAGUUACGGUUUAUUUUAUAUGAUUUUUCAAAGCAUUAAAUAUUUUUUGGAUUUAUUUCAAUUAAAUUAAUUCGAAAGAUAUAUAACAGACUUCGGCUGGGUGCACCCGGUGCAGUGCACCCAGCAGUGCACAGAGGCUGACCAGGGGGCCCCGUUGACUGCCCAGUCAGCAGUCAACGUUGAUCCGUUGACUGGUCAACAGGGCCCAGGGGGUCCCACACGUCAUUGUAUGCUUAAUCAAUUAAUAGUUAAUUAGCUAACUAAUCAGACUAAUUAGGUUAGGUUAAUUAACAUGAUUAAUUAAAUUAGUUAAUUGUUAAUUAAUUAAUUAAGUUAUUUUAAUUAUUAUUUUUAAAAUCUUUUUUUACAAAAAAGAGGGUGGGGGCCCCACUGGGCAGUGGCCCAAAGGCCUUGCGGGGCAGGCGUAACGGGCGCGGGCGAGGGAGUGAGCGCCCGUGCUUAAGGGGUGCGGCCGGGGCAUAGCCCGCCCGGGAGCGGGGCGAGGCCACCGGCGACGGGGCAGCCCGCUAGGCGGGGCAGUGGGGAGGCGACGGUGGGCGGCGCGUGUGGGGAGGCCACGCGGCCGUGUGGAGGCGGGGCAUGGCGGGAACGACGGCGGUGGCAGCGCCCGCAGCGGAGCGUGGCCGGGUGAGCGAGAGCAGCGACGGACGCGGCGCGCGCUAGGCAGCGACAAGAGCCAGAAGCACGGGGCGGGCGCCGGCACGGGGAUGGGCACGACCAGUCCGGGCGGAGCGGUCGCAAAAGCGGCGGCGCGCGCGCCAGUGAGACGGGUCGCGGGCAGGGCCAGGGAGUGGAGCGGUCACGGGCAAGCGAGCUCGACGAGCGCGCACAGCAGGUAGCGAGAAGCUGCGGGGCGAGGUGAAGGCGGCGAUGCAGCCGGGAGAGGCGCUGCCGGCAGCGGUCGGAGGAGCCGCCAGAGGCGUGCUCGUGCGACGACGCGCUAAUGGACGGCGGUGGGGCGGUCGAUGGGUGACGGCGAGAUGCGCAAGCAUGUGGCGCGCGAGUAGCGACGGGCAACACGGGGCGGGGAGGAGGAGCAGCCGCGAUGCGGUGCGCGGCAGUAGGUGCCUGCGGAGGCGGCCUAUGGCGCACUAGCAGCAGCAACAGCUGAGCAACAGAGAAGUAGCAGAAGUAGAGCAAGCAGCGGCAGGGGAAGCAGCAGCAUGCGGUAAGGGCGAUGCGAUUGGGCGCGGCCCGAGCAAAGUGGGGGCGCAGCCGCGGUGUGGUGUAGGCGCGGCCCGGACACGGCCAGGGGCUGAGGGGAGCACAGACAACGACGCGGUGAGCAGGAGCUCCGACGGCAUCGGACACGACGGUGACGGUGGCCUACGGUGGUGGUUCAAUGGUAAAAAUAGGGGAAUGGGAGGAGAAGCUCACUCCGAGCCUGUAGAGGUGCUAAGUGGGCUCGGGGAGGGCUCCACGGCGUCGGAGUCGAAGACGAACGGUGACGUUCCGAGUUGAAGACGAGCGUGUUCCGGUCGGAGGAGAGGCGCUCGGCUCGACCCCGAUUGCGUAAGCGAUGUGGACGACGACGAGGAAGCCGGUGGGCACGUCGAGGAGGCGAACGGGGCUCGGUGACCGCGGGAUCGACAGAGACCAUGGCGGCAAGGGCGUUCGGCUGUGUGUGGGAAGGAGGAUCUGGGGCGAGAGGGGGAGA